rnacentral:tRNA from 1 species
GGAGUUAUGCCUGAAUUAAAGGACCACUUUGAUAGAGUGAAUCAUGAAGGUUAAACUCCUUCUAACUCCU